rfam:Marine metagenome 1095339010620, whole genome shotgun sequence.
AGGAUAAAAACUGGGGGGUGUUAGAAGUUAGUCACUUAGAAGGUCGUCGCAAGAUUGGCAAUUUAGGUGAAAAACGGACAAAACCAACUCCGGAUCAAUAUGCUGAGAUCGUCCACAACUUUCGAGUUGGAUCGCAGUUAAAGGUGAA